rnacentral:lncRNA from 1 species
UUCAAGCGUGAACCCUAAAACUAGUUGUUGGUGCCAAGCUUGCAAUGGGAAAGGUUUCAUUUUCAAUGGUUAUGAAAGUACUCGUCAUGACCAUCCUAAUCUCCAAUAUUAUGUUUGGUAAGCAUUUCCUAUGUAUCUCUAUGCUCCAUAGCUCAUAUUUCAAUCAAAACUACAACACACUUGCACUUGCUUAAUGUAUGUGUGCGUGCAUGUAUAUGAACAAAAUUUUCUAAGAAAAAUUUAUAUUUGUUGAAGUGCCAACUACAUAUGCAAGCAGCGGAUUAAGCUACAAUAAACGCGGGGAGAGGCCAACCUAUUGCGUGAAGAACGAUGAUUGUAUAGGAUUUUGUGCUUUCUUCUCGCUUGGGAAAAGCUGUGGUUGUAAUGUACAAACAGGACAAUGCUGCUGUAAAAAGUCACCAACCUGAUUAUUAGGAAAAUAGUAUCUGGGAAUUGAGAAUAAGUUUUGCACAACUUUAGCUUCUUGUUGCUUUUGACACUGCGAAUCUUUAAACAAGUUUCUCCAAAAAUAAUUG